UCCUCCUGCAUCCCCUUUCCUCCAUUUUUCCAUUUCCUUUUUCAACAACGCUUUCUCUCUUCACAUGUACAUAGCAAACCAACGGAAUCAUUGGCCAGAUAGCCUGGCGCCUUCUCUCUUUCCAAUAUUGUGAUAGGUAUUGAGUGGAACCUAGAAGAUUAUAAUGUAAUGUUGGGAGAAGCCACAGUUCGUCGAAAAGACGUUACAAAUAAAAAUUAGAUGAAAAUCCAUUCAAAUUUUUUUAGAAAAGUAUACAGGGUGCAUUUUAAUAUGUUGAAUGCAAGUAGAUCAAACAUCAGUCUUGAUGCAAAGAGUGAAAUUACUUCAUCCUUGACCGCAGAAGAUCAUCUGGUGGCAACAUCAUCAAUCCCCAGAUCAAAUACUUAGGAACUUAGUUUUGUUUUGAUGUGGAACCCUUUAGAAUUUUAUAGAUUAUAGUUGAAUA